CGAGGAGGAUGGACGGUCGCUGCUGCUUUAAUAGCAGGAGAGGAAAGUCCGAGCACCUCAUGAAUCAGAGUGCCUGCUAACAGCAGGGCGGGGUGACCCGACAGACAGUGCAACAGAAAACAUAACGCCUUGAUAAACGAAUCAAUUCGAACAUUCAAGGUAAGUGUGAAAAGGUGCGGUAAAAGCGCACCGCUCGUGUGGUGACAUACGAGGCAAGGUAAACCUCACUCGGUGCAAGACCAAAUAGGGAAGCGUUGACCGGAUUCGGGUAGCUUCCGGGUUGGUUGCUUGAACCUGCAGGUAACUGUAGGUCUAGAUGGAUGACCGUCACUGAUCCGACUUUAUUGGAUCUAGUACAGGACUCGGCUUAUAGUCCACCUCGCGGC
rnacentral:RNase_P_RNA from 2 species